rnacentral:lncRNA from 1 species
GUUAGAACAAUUACAAUAUAAUGAUUCUUCUAGAAAUAUUGAAUUACUGUCAUUUGCAUAUAUUUGAUAAACCAGUUGAAGUUCAUGUUAUAAUUUACCAGUUCAUAUUAAUAAUCCACUGAAUAAUCCAACUGUAUGUCUUGUAUUUUUGUGAAGAUCCAAUUGUAGCAACUGUAGUAGAUCGUAGUAAAUUCCACGCACCUGUGCUAGAAUUUAUGAAUGAAAUGUAUUGACAUGCGCAGUAGAACCCAUGUGUCACUUGGUACGAUUGUUCAAUAAAAACACUAUUUGUACGUGUUGGCAACUGUUUUUACAUACUCCUUGUAAUUCCUUUUAGUAUUUAUAGUCAACGUCUUCAAUGUUUUGUAGAUGUUAAUGCUCACUAUCCUUGAUAUUUAACAUUUUGGUCCGCCGGUGACACACAUAACUUUUCGCAAUGUUGUUUACGUAUUGUGACUUCCGGUGGCGCUGUAUAUAGUGUUGUAUUUUUAGUUACCAUAGAAAUUUGUUUAGUACCAUGCAAACUUUGUUUAUUAUAUAAAGGUUACUAAAAUUGUAUAUUAUUGUGAUUUUUGUAAUUUAUUUAAGAAUUCAAAUAUUUAGUUGGACGGCAAGCGCGCGAUCCAACAAUCCAAUAUCCAACAAUCCAACAAUCCAACAUUGACGUAAUUUCGACGCUUGGUCGUCAGUUCUGCUUAAACUUUUGGUUCUUACAGUUGGUAUUUUUAUUUGCUCGUUAUUUAUUUUAGUCAAAAUGGUUUAUUUUUCUUAGAAACUUCAUUUUUUAAGGGUUAAAUUGUAAAGGAAAAUAGUAAAGUUAGCGUUUUCAAAGUUUAAAAGGAAUAU